rnacentral:rRNA from 1 species
AGCAUCCUACGGGAGGCAGCAGUGGGGUAAUAUUGCACUAAUGGGCGCAAGCCUGAUGCAGCCAUGCCGCGUGUAUGAAGAAGGCCUUCGGGUUGUAAAGUACUUUCAGCAGUGAGGAAGGUGGAUAUGUUAACUAGCAUAUUCAUUUGACGUUAGCUGCAGAAGAAGCACCGGCUAACUCCGUGCCAGCAGCCGCGGUAAUACGGAGGGUGCGAGCGUUAAUCGGAAUUACUGGGCGUAAAGCGCAUGCAGGUGGUUUGUUAAGUCAGAUGUGAAAGCCCGGGGCUCAACCUCGGAAUUGCAUUUGAAACUGGCAAACUAGAGUACUGUAGAGGGGGUAGAAUUUCAGGUGUAGCGGUGAAAUGCGUAGAGAUCUGAAGGAAUACCGGUGGCGAAGGCGGCCCCCUGGACAGAUACUGACACUCAGAUGCGAAAGCGUGGGGAGCAAACAGGAUUAGAUACCCUGGUAG